AUUGAACGCUGGCGGAAUGCUUUACACAUGCAAGUCGAACGGCAGCACGGGGGCAACCCUGGUGGCGAGUGGCGAACGGGUGAGUAAUACAUCGGAACGUGCCCGGUCGUGGGGGAUAACGUAGCGAAAGUUACGCUAAUACCGCAUACGAUCUGAGGGUGAAAGCGGGGGACCUUCGGGCCUCGCGCGAUCGGAGCGGCCGAUGUCAGAUUAGGUAGUUGGUGGGGUAAAGGCCUACCAAGCCGACGAUCUGUAGCUGGUCUGAGAGGACGACCAGCCACACUGGGACUGAGACACGGCCCAGACUCCUACGGGAGGCAGCAGUGGGGAAUUUUGGACAAUGGGCGCAAGCCUGAUCCAGCCAUGCCGCGUGCAGGACGAAGGCCUUCGGGUUGUAAACUGCUUUUGUAUGGAACGAAAAGGCUCUGGCUAAUACCUGGGGCUCAUGACGGUACCGUAAGAAUAAGCACCGGCUAACUACGUG
rnacentral:rRNA from 1 species